GCAUUGGUGGUUCAGUGGUAGAAUUCCUGCCUCCCUCGCGGGAGACCUGGGUUUGAUUCCCGGCCGGUGCA